CAAGAAGUGGGGUAUUGGGCUGAGCUCAAAGCGAAGAAGGCUGCAGUUGGCUAACCGCAUAUGGAGCAACACAAAGGACAUUGACCAUGUAAUGGAAAGUGCUGCCGUUGUUGCAAAGCUGGUCAGAUUUGUAGAACAGGGACAAGCUCUCAAGGAGAUGUUUGGGCUUAGCUUUACUCCCCCGACCUCAAGCACAAAGCGAAGGUCUUUGGGAUGGACAUACAGCAAGUCAUCCCUUUUAUAGGCUUCUUUUUUGUGCCACAU
rnacentral:lncRNA from 1 species